UAGCUUUGUCCUAAGUAAAACUUUUUGAAGUUUGACCAAGUUUAUAGAAAAAUGUAUCAGCAUAUAGAAUAUCAAAUAAGUAUACUAUGAAGAUAUAUCAUAAUGGACUUGCUAAAACUAAUUUAGAGUUGUACAUGUUGGUAUAUUUUUCUAUAAACUAGGUCAAAGUUUAAGAAGUUUGACUUAGGACAAAGUUAG
rnacentral:pre_miRNA from 1 species